rnacentral:rRNA from 1 species
UACGUAGGGGUGCAAGCGUUUAAUCGGAAUUACUGGGCGUAAAGCGUGCGCAGGCGGUUGUGCAAGACAGAUGUGAAAUCCCCGGGCUUAACCUGGGAACUGCAUUUGUGACUGCACGGCUAGAGUGUGUCAGAGGGGGGGUAGAAUUCCACGUGUAGCAGUGAAAUGCGUAGAUAUGUGGAGGAAUACCGAUGGGCGAAGGCAGCCCCCCUGGGGAUAACACUGACGCUCAUGCACGAAAGGCGUGGGGAGCAAACAGG